rnacentral:rRNA from 1 species
UACGUAGGGCGCAAGCGUUAUCCGGAAUUAUUGGGCGUAAAGAGCUCGUAGGCGGUUUGUCGCGUCUGCCGUGAAAGUCCGGGGCUCAACUCCGGGCCUGCAGUGGGUACGGGCUGACUAGAGUGCGGUAGGGGAGACUGGAAUUCCUGGUGUAGCGGUGAAAUGCGCAGAUAUCAGGAGGAACACCGGUGGCGAAGGCGGGUCUCUGGGCCGUAACUGACGCUGAGGAGCGAAAGCGUGGGGAGCGAACAGG